rnacentral:rRNA from 1 species
AGAGUUUGAUCAUGGCUCAGGAUGAACGCUGGCGGCGUGCCUAACACAUGCAAGUCGAGCGAAGCACUUUACUUUGAGAUCUUCGGAAGGAUAAGUUUAGUGACUGAGCGGCGGACGGGUGAGUAACGCGUGGGUAACCUGCCUCACACAGGGGGAUAACAGUUAGAAAUGACUGCUAAUACCGCAUAAGACCACAGCACCGCAUGGUGCAGGGGUAAAAACUCCGGUGGUGUGAGAUGGACCCGCGUCUGAUUAGGUAGUUGGUGGGGUAACGGCCCACCAAGCCGACGAUCAGUAGCCGACCUGAGAGGGUGACCGGCCACAUUGGGACUGAGACACGGCCCAAACUCCUACGGGAGGCAGCAGUGGGGAAUAUUGCACAAUGGGGGAAACCCUGAUGCAGCGACGCCGCGUGAGCGAAGAAGUAUUUCGGUAUGUAAAGCUCUAUCAGCAGGGAAGAAACUGACGGUACCUGACUAAGAAGCACCGG